rnacentral:rRNA from 1 species
UGGGGAAUAUUGCACAAUGGAGGGAACUCUGAUGCAGCGACGCCGCGUGAGUGAUGAAGGAAUUCGUUUCGUAAAACUCUGUUCUAUGGGAAGAAAAGGACUGUACCAUAGGAGAAAGCUCCGGCUAAAUACGUGCCAGCAGCCGCGGUCAUACGUAUGGAGCGAGCGUUGUCCGGAAUUAUUGGGCGUAAAGGGUGCGCAGGCGGCUUUACAAGUUGGAUGUGAAAUAUUGUGGCUCAACCACAAACGUGCAUCCAAAACUGCAAAGCUUGAGUUAAGGAGAGGUAAGUGGAAUUCCUGGUGUAGCGGUGGAAUGCGUAGAUAUCAGGAGGAAUACCGGUGGCGAAGGCGACUUACUGGACUUAAACUGACGCUCAGGCACGAAAGCGUGGGGAGCAAACAGG